rnacentral:lncRNA from 1 species
UCUACAUUAUAUUUCAAUUUUUCAAAUCUAUCUUAUGAAUUAUCCCGAUCGAGGUUUUACUGAAUUGAAACACAUUGAUAUAUUAACUCCUAUUUAUUUGGAGGGAUCAAUUCCAUCUGGACUCACACACUGACUUCACAAGUACUUGACUGUGUCCAAAAAUUUUUUAUCACUAAAUUAAAAAUUCAGAUAGUCCGAUAUCAAAGCAC